AAGUACGUGUCUGUUCUGUAGUAUGUCUCAGUUCUCUUCAUCACCCUUAUUCUAGGUAACUGUAAAAAUAUGGACAGGACGCCCUUUUUAUUUAUUGGUGAUAUAUUGCACUAAACCUAGCUUCGGCUCUGAUAAUUCUCUAGAUAUUAAAUUAGAUUUUGUGUUGUCAUUUAAUUUGCAAGAUAAAGAACUUUGAAAUUUAUAAAGUUUCAGGAAUUUUCUUCACCAUUUGGAGGCUGAUCAGUCAGUUUUACUUGUGAAUUUCAAGUAGUGACCACCAAGUCAAAUCUUGAAA
rnacentral:lncRNA from 1 species